rnacentral:rRNA from 1 species
UACGAAGGGGGCUAGCGUUGCUCGGAAUCACUGGGCGUAAAGGGUGCGUAGGCGGGUUUUAAGUCAGGGGUGAAAUCCUGGAGCUCAACUCCAGAACUGCCUUUGAUACUGAAGAUCUUGAGUCCGGGAGAGGUGAGUGGAACUGCGAGUGUAGAGGUGAAAUUCGUAGAUAUUCGCAAGAACACCAGUGGCGAAGGCGGCUCACUGGCCCGGUACUGACGCUGAGGUGCGAAAGCGUGGGGAGCAAACAGGG